rnacentral:rRNA from 1 species
CCAAUAGCGUAUAUUAAAGUUGUUGCAGUUAAAAAGCUCGUAGUUGAAUUUCGGGGUCAGUAAGUUGGUCGUGCCACUGGUAUGCACUGGCUUUACUGGUUCCUCCUUCUUGAAGAACUGUGAUGUCAUUAAUUUGGUGUUGCAGGGAAACAGGACUGUUACUUUGAAAAAAUUAGAGUGUUUAAAGCAGGCUAACGCUUGAAUACAUUAGCAUGGAAUAAUGAAAUAGGACGUUUGACCCUAUUUUGUUGGUUUCUAGGAUCGACGUAAUGAUUAAUAGGGAUAGUUGGGGGCAUUAGUAUUCAAUUGUCAGAGGUGAAAUUCUUGGAUUUAUUGAAGACUAACUACUGCGAAAGCAUUUGCCAAGGAUGUUUUCAUUAAUCAAGAACGAAAGUUAGGGGAUCGAAGACGAUCAGAUACCGUCGUAGUCUUAACCAUAAACUAUGCCGACUAGGGAUCGGAUGAUGUUAAUUUUUUAAUGACUCAUUCGGCGCCUUACG